CCUACGGGAGGCAGCAGUAGGGAAUCUUCCGCAAUGGACGAAAGUCUGACGGAGCAACGCCGCGUGAACGAUGAAGGCCUUCGGGUCGUAAAGUUCUGUUGUCAGGGAAGAACAAGUACCGGAGUAACUGCCGGUACCUUGACGGUACCUGACCAGAAAGCCACGGCUAACUACGUGCCAGCAGCCGCGGUAAUACGUAGGUGGCAAGCGUUGUCCGGAAUUAUUGGGCGUAAAGCGCGCGCAGGCGGUUCCUUAAGUCUGAUGUGAAAGCCCCCGGCUCAACCGGGGAGGGUCAUUGGAAACUGGGAAACUUGAGUGCAGAAGAGGAAAGUGGAAUUCCAAGUGUAGCGGUGAAAUGCGUAGAGAUUUGGAGGAACACCAGUGGCGAAGGCGACUUUCUGGUCUGUAACUGACGCUGAGGCGCGAAAGCGUGGGGAGCAAACAGGAUUAGAUACCCUGGUAGUCCACGCUGUAAACGAUGAGUGCUAAGUGUUAGAGGGUUUCCGCCCUUUAGUGCUGAAGUUAACGCAUUAAGCACUCCGCCUGGGGAGUACGGUCGCAAGACUGAAACUCAAAGGAAUUGACGG
rnacentral:rRNA from 1 species